UGCGGCGCUACCAUGCAAGUCGAACGGUAACAGGAAACAGCUUGCUGUUUCGCUGACGAGUGGCGGACGGGUGAGUAAUGUCUGGGAAACUGCCUGAUGGAGGGGGAUAACUACUGGAAACGGUAGCUAAUACCGCAUAACGUCGCAAGACCAAAGAGGGGGACCUUCGGGCCUCUUGCCAUCGGAUGUGCCCAGAUGGGAUUAGCUAGUAGGUGGGGUAACGGCUCACCUAGGCGACGAUCCCUAGCUGGUCUGAGAGGAUGACCAGCCACACUGGAACUGAGACACGGUCCAGACUCCUACGGGAGGCAGCAGUGGGGAAUAUUGCACAAUGGGCGCAAGCCUGAUGCAGCCAUGCCGCGUGUAUGAAGAAGGCCUUCGGGUUGUAAAGUACUUUCAGCGGGGAGGAAGGGAGUAAAGUUAAUACCUUUGCUCAUUGACGUUACCCGCAGAAGAAGCACCGGCUAACUCCGUGCCAGCAGCCGCGGUAAUACGGAGGGUGCAAGCGUUAAUCGGAAUUACUGGGCGUAAAGCGCACGCAGGCGGUUUGUUAAGUCAGAUGUGAAAUCCCCGGGCUCAACCUGGGAACUGCAUCUGAUA
rnacentral:rRNA from 1 species